UACGUAGGGGACCAGCGUUGUCCGGAUUUAUUGGGCGUAAAGAGCGCGCAGGCGGUCGUUCAAGUCGAGUGUGAAAGCCCCCGGCUCAACUGGGGAGGGUCAUUCGAUACUGAUCGACUCGAAGGCAGGAGAGGGAAGCGGAAUUCCCGGUGUAGUGGUGAAAUGCGUAGAUAUCGGGAGGAACACCAGUGGCGAAGGCGACACGCUGGGCCGUACCUGACGCUAAAGCGCGACAGCAUGGGGAGCAAACGGG
rnacentral:rRNA from 1 species